rnacentral:rRNA from 1 species
UGGAGCCUGCAGCUUAAUUUCACUCAACACGGGAAAACUUACCCUGCCCGGACACUGGGAGGAUUGGCAGAUUGAGAGGCAACUCCUUGAUUCGGUGGAUGGUGGUGCAUGGCCGUUCUUAGUUGGUGGAGCGAUUUGUCUGGGUAAUUCUGAUAACGAACGAUACUCUAGCCUAUUAAAUAGGUGCUAGGUUCCCAGCACCUUAUAAUCUUCUUAAAGGGACACGCGGCUCCCAGCCGCACGAAACAGAGCAAUAACAGGUCUGUGAUGCCCUUAGAUGCCCGGGGCCGCACGCGCGCUACACUGAAGGAGGCAGCAUGUUUUUUUUUUGCAUGUGCCUUUUUCCCUCACGCCCACACUUAUCUAUGUUCUCCAGAAAAUGCAAGCAAUAAAACAACGGAGCGCCAGCAUGCGCUGAUCGGCCAGAAAAACCAUUAAUAAAGAGGAA